rnacentral:rRNA from 1 species
CAGCAGUGGGGAAUCUUAGACAAUGGGCGCAAGCCUGAUCUAGCCAUGCCGCGUGAGUGAAGAAGGCCUUAGGGUCGUAAAGCUCUUUCGCCUGUGAAGAUAAUGACUGUAGCAGGUAAAGAAACCCCGGCUAACUCCGUGCCAGCAGCCGCGGUAAUACGGAGGGGGUUAGCGUUGUUCGGAAUUACUGGGCGUAAAGCGCGCGUAGGCGGACAUUUAAGUCAGAGGUGAAAUCCCAGGGCUCAACCCUGGAACUGCCUUUGAUACUGGGUGUCUUGAGUUCGAGAGAGGUGAGUGGAAUUCCGAGUGUAGAGGUGAAAUUCGUAGAUAUUCGGAGGAACACCAGUGGCGAAGGCGGCUCACUGGCUCGAUACUGACGCUGAGGUGCGAAAGUGUGGGGAGCAAACAGGAUUAGAUACCCUGGUAGUCCACACCGUAAACGAUGAAUGCCAGUCGUCGGGCAGUAUACUGUUCGGUGACACACCUAAC